rnacentral:rRNA from 1 species
UACGUAGGGACCAGGCGUUGUCCGGAAUCAUUGGGCGUAAAGAGCGUGUAGGCGGCUUGUUAAGUCUUGCGUGAAAUCUCGGGGCUCAACCCCGAGCGGUCGUGAGAAACUGGCAGGCUAGAGUGCGGGAGAGGAGAGUGGAAUUCCUGGUGUAGCGGUGAAAUGCGCAGAUAUCAGGAGGAACACCGAUGGCGAAGGCAGCUCGCUGGGACGGUACUGACGCUGAGGCGCGAAAGCGUGGGGAGCAAACAGG